GUCUCUUCGAGAACAUCUGAUAGAACUGAAACGACACAGAAAAGAUUAGCAUGGUCCAUGCGCAAGGAUCAACGCAUAAAUCGUUUCAAUUGAGCUUU